rnacentral:rRNA from 1 species
UACGUAGGAUGCAAGCGUUGUCCGGAAUUAUUGGGCGUAAAGCGUACGUAGGCGGUUCGUUAAGUCAGGGGUUAAAGACUGAGGCUCAACCUCAGGAGUGCCCUUGAUACUGGCGGGCUUGAGGACGGCAGAGGAAAGUGGAAUUCCCAGUGUAGCGGUGAAAUGCGUAGAUAUUGGGAGGAACACCAGUGGCGAAAGCGACUUUCUGGGCCGUUCCUGACGCUGAGGUACGAAAGCGUGGGGAGCAAACAGGAUUAGAAACCCCCGUAGUCC